CUUACACCGGCGAACCAACCUUCUCUGCUGUUUGCUCUACGCACUUGUGUGGUCUGGCACUAAAGGUGAGCUGGGUGGAGGAAACAUGGAGAAAGAAGUGUGCUGCUGAUGGAAGCUGCUUCCCUUGAACACUGCAGAAGCUAUGAGGAGAGUUUGGCAGCAAUUUUUCUGACCAGAAAAACACUUCCAGUGUGGAUGAAAACAGAACUGGAGAUGUUUUGAAAACACGUAAAAGUUUGUUUCGAAAGCAAGCAGUUGGUAAGAAAUUGAGGACAGACAGCUGUGGGAGGCCAGUGGUCCACAGCCUGUGGGGUUAUCAGUGUGUCAUCCAGAUUGGCAGGGACUCCUAGUGAAUCAUUGAGACCUUCUCUUUUAACUGUGAC
rnacentral:lncRNA from 12 species